rnacentral:rRNA from 1 species
AUGCACCAGAAAGAUCGCAAGAAACCACAUAAAACACAGCAAACAUCAGGCAAGACAAACAAAAUUAUGGACCAAAUUAAGCGCUCACUUAUUCAUAGUUCACCAAAGCUGCUCCACACCAGCAGAAGUUUGAAGAUACAAACGAUAACACUGCAUCACAGUAUGGUACAGAAACAAAGACAGUUCAGGCAACGACAGACACAGACCAGACUCCAUUGGAGGAUACCGGAGACACCGAGACUUGUGAACCCAGAGACAGAAGCAGCUCCAUGGCCAGGAGCUUACUGGCCACCACGGAGACGGAGCACCAAGUGA